GACGAACGCUGGCGGCGUGCUUAGCACAUGCAAGUCGAACGGAAAGGCCCUGCUUUUGUGGGGUGCUCGAGUGGCGAACGGGUGAGUAACACGUGAGUAACCUGCCCUUGACUUUGGGAUAACUUCAGGAAACUGGGGCUAAUACCGGAUAGGAGCUCCUGCUGCAUGGUGGGGGUUGGACAGUUUCGGCGGUUGGGGAUGGACUCGCGGCUUAUCAGCUUGUUGGUGGGGUAGUGGCUUACCAAGGCUUUGACGGGUAGCCGGCCUGAGAGGGUGACCGGCCACAUUGGGACUGAGAUACGGCCCAGACUCCUACGGGAGGCAGCAGUGGGGAAUAUUGCACAAUGGGCGGAAGCCUGAUGCAGCAACGCCGCGUGCGGGAUGACGGCCUUCGGGUUGUAAACCGCUUUCGCCUGUGACGAAGCGUGAGUGACGGUAAUGGGUAAAGAAGCACCGGCUAACUACGUG
rnacentral:rRNA from 1 species